rnacentral:rRNA from 1 species
UACGGAGGAUGCGAGCGUUAUCCGGAUUUAUUGGGUUUAAAGGGUGCGCAGGCGGCGUGUCAAGCAAGCGGUAAAAUAGCGGGGCUCAACCCCGUCGAGCCGUUUGAACUGGCGCGCUUGAGUUCAGGCGAGGUAGGCGGAAUUCGUGGUGUAGCGGUGAAAUGCAUAGAUAUCACGAAGAACUCCGAUUGCGAAGGCAGCUUACCAGUCUGCGACUGACGCUCAGGCACGAAAGUGUGG